rnacentral:lncRNA from 13 species
AUGGGGGAGUCGCUAUCAGGAGUAGGCAGGGGAGAGGGGUGGAGAGUAGAGGCUUUGCAUCCUCCUGUUCUUGGCCAGGGCUCCCAAACCAAAUGCCACUCCUGCACACACACCACACGGGCACACACGUGCAUCUCACAGACACACCACACAGGCACACACAUGUGCCUCGUACCACAGGCACACACCACACAGGCACAAACACGUGCACACACACGCAAAGGCGCACACAUGUGCACAUACACAAGCACACUCACGAGUGCACACACCACACACGUGCACACACCACGGGCACAAACACAAUCACACAUACUUCUCAGACACACGGGCAUAUAUACUACAUGCGCUUAUCUACACAGAUACAUGCACAGAGGCAUCACACUACAUACACAAACACAAUACACAUGCACACACGUACAGAGAGGCAUCACACUACAUAUACAAACAAUACACACGCACACGUACACAGAGGCAUCACACUACAUACACAAACAAUACACAUGCACACACAGAGGCAUCACACUACAUACACAAACACAAUACACAUGCACGCAUACACAGAGGCAUCACACUACAUACACAAACACAAUACACAUGCACACACAUACACAUGUACACACAUACACAGAGGCAUCACACUACAUACACAAACAAUACACAUGCACACAUACACAGAGGCAUCACACUACAUACACAAACACAAUACACAUGCACACACAUACACAGAGGCAUCACACCACAUACACAAACACAAUACACAUGAACACAUACAGGCAUCACUACAUACACAAACACAAUACACAUGCACACACAUACACAGAGGCAUCACUACAUACACAAACACACAAUACACAUGCACACACAUACACAGAGGCAUCACACUACAUACACAAACACAAUACACAUACACAAUACACAUGUACACACAUACAGAGGCAUCACACUAUAUACACAAACAAUACACAUGCACACAUACACAGAGGCAUCACACCACAUACACAAACACAAUACGCAUACACACAAUACACAUGUACACACAUACACAGGCAUCACACUACAUACACAAACAAUACACAUGCACACAUACACAGAGGCAUCACACUACAUACACAAACACAAUACACAUACACACACAAUACACAUGUACACACAUACACAGGCAUCACACUACAUACACAAACAAUACACAUGCACACAUACACAGAGGCAUCACACUACAUACACAAACACAAUACACAUGCACACAAAUACACAGAGGCAUCACACCACAUACACAAACACAAUACACAUGCACACAUACACACAGGCAUCACUACAUACACAAACACACAAUACACAUGCACACACAUACACAGAGGCAUCACACUACAUACACAAACACAAUACACAUACAUAAUACACAUGUACACACAUACACAGAGGCAUCACACUAUAUACACAAACAAUACACAUGCACACAUACACAGAGGCAUCACACUACAUACACAAACACACAAUACACAUGCACACACAUACACAGAGGCAUCACACUACAUACACACAAUACACAUGCAUACACAUACAGAGGCAUCACACUACAUACACAAACACAAUACACAUGCACACAUACACACAGGCAUCACACUACAUACACAAACUACACAUGCACACACAGAUGCAUCACACUACACAAACUACACAUGCACACACAGAUGCAUCACACUACAUACACAAACUACACAUGCACACACAGAUGCAUCACACUACAUACACAAACACACAAUACACAUGCACACACAUACACAGAGGCAUCACACUACAAACACAAUACACAUGCACACACAUACACAGAGGCAUCACACUACAUACACAAACUACACAUGCACACACAGAUGCAUCACACUACAUACACAAACACACAAUACACAUGCACACACAUACACAGAGGCAUCACACUACAUACACAAACACAAUACACAUGCACACACAUACAGAGGCAUCACACUACAUACACAAACAAUACACAUGCACACACAUACACAGAGGCAUCACACUACAUACACAAACACAUAA